rnacentral:rRNA from 1 species
AGGAUCAACGCUGGCGGCGUGCCUAAUGCAUGCAAGUCGAACGGGGUCGCCUUCGGGCGGUUCACGUGGCGGACGGGUGAGGAACACGUGGGCGAUCUGCCCUGAGGUGGGGGAUAGCUACCAGAAAUGGUGGGUAAGACCGCAUAAGCUCGUUGGUUUCCGGACCAACGAGGAAACGUUCUUCGGAACGUGCCUUAGGAGGAGCCUGCGGCGGAUUAGCUAGUUGGUGGGGUAACGGCCUACCGAAGGCGAUGAUCCGUAGCUGGU